rnacentral:rRNA from 1 species
UGGGGAAUAUUGCACAAUGGAGGGAACUCUGAUGCAGCGACGCCGCGUGAACGAAGAAGGCUUUCGAGUCGUAAAGUUCUUUUAUAUGGGAAGAUAAUGACGGUACCAUAAGAAAAAGCUCCGGCUAACUACGUGCCAGCAGCCGCGGUAAUACGUAGGGGGCUAGCGUUGUCCGGAAUCACUGGGCGUAAAGGGUUCGCAGGCGGAAAUGCAAGUCAGGUGUAAAAGGCAGUAGCUUAACUACUGUAAGCAUUUGAAACUGCAUAUCUUGAGAAGAGUAGAGGUAAGUGGAAUUUUGAGUGUAGCGGUGAAAUGCGUAGAUAUUAAAAAGAAUACCGGUGGCGAAGGCGACUUACUGGGCUCAUUCUGACGCUGAGGAACGAAAGCGUGGGUAGCAAACAGG